UACAGAGGUCCCAAGCGUUGUUCGGAUUCACUGGGCGUAAAGGGUGCGUAGGUGGUGAGGUAAGUCGGAUGUGAAAUCUCCGAGCUCAACUCGGAAAUUGCAUUGGAAACUACCUUGCUUGAGGGUUGGAGGGGGGAUUGGAAUGCUUGGUAUAGCAGUGAAAUGCGUAGAUAUCAAGUGGAACACCAGUGGCGAAGGCGAAUCCCUGGAAAAUACCUGACACUGAGGCACGAAAGCUAGGGGAGCAAACAGG
rnacentral:rRNA from 1 species